rnacentral:rRNA from 1 species
UACAGAGGGGGCAAGCGUUAUUCGGAAUUAUUGGGCGUAAAGGGCGCGUAGGCGGCCCAGCAAGUCAGGGGUGAAAUCCCUCGGCUCAACCGAGGAACUGCCUCUGAAACUGCAGGGCUUGAGACCGGGAGAGGGUGGUGGAAUUCCCAGUGUAGCGGUGAAAUGCGUAGAUAUUGGGAGGAACACCGGUGGCGAAGGCGGCCACCUGGACCGGUUCUGACGCUGAGGCGCGAAAGUGUGGGGAGCAAACAGGAUUAGAAACCCCCGUAGUCC